rnacentral:rRNA from 1 species
UACGAAGGGGGCUAGCGUUGUUCGGAAUCACUGGGCGUAAAGGGCGCGUAGGCGGCUUUAUAAGUCGGGGGUGAAAGCCUGUGGCUCAACCACAGAAUUGCCUUCGAUACUGUAGAGCUUGAGACCGGAAGAGGUAAGUGGAACCGCGAGUGUAGAGGUGAAAUUCGUAGAUAUUCGCAAGAACACCAGUGGCGAAGGCGGCUUACUGGUCCGGUUCUGACGCUGAGGCGCGAAAGCGUGGGGAGCAAACAGG